UACGUAGGUGGCAAGCGUUGUCCGGAUUUAUUGGGUUUAAAGGGUGCGUAGGCGGCCUUGUAAGUCAGUGCUGAAAUAUCCCGGCUUAACCGGGAGGGUGGCAUUGAUACUGCAGGGCUUGAGUAAAGUUGAGGUUGGCGGAAUUGACGGUGUAGCGGUGAAAUGCGCAGAUAUCAGGAGGAACACCGGUGGCGAAGGCGGAUCUCUGGGCCGAUACUGACGCUGAGGAGCGAAAGCGUGGGGAGCGAACAGG
rnacentral:rRNA from 1 species